rnacentral:misc_RNA from 1 species
AGUUAAACAGUACGUGAAAUUGUUGAAAGGGAAACGAUUGAAGUCAGUCAUACCAACGGGAAAUCAACCUUUUGAGCUUGGUCUCGUGGGUUUUGAAGAGUUUCAAAGCCUUCGGAUUCGCGGGAUUGGGAUCUCUUGGUGUACUUUUUCGUACGGUUAGUCAACAUCGGUUUUGAAUGUCAUAAAAUGACUGGAGGAAUGUAGCUUCGAUCUCGUAUUGAAGUGUUAUAGCCUUUGGUAGAUGUGAUGUUUGAGACCGAGGAUUGCAACGGAUACCCUUCAGGGCUAUUCGUCUGAUCUCUGAUACGUUGCCUUGAUGUUGAAAGCUUGCUUAUGAUGUUAGGGUAUUACGGUCAAAAGGUUAGAACGAAUUACAUUCGUUAAGGAUGUUGACGUAAUGACUUUAAA